CCACUUGGGCCACUGAGGCCGACAGAAGCCUUGAGAGAGGUGUCGUCCUUGUUCAUCAGUCAUCUUUUCCUGCUGUCAACAGUUUCAGGACUCCCUGCGCCAACACAGACAAGGGCUCUGAACUCAGUAAAAAUCUUGAUUUUUGUUUUGCUAUUUUAUGGGUGGAGUGGAUGCCAUGGGGACUACGCUUAUGGGACACACACUGUUUAUGAUGGAAGAAGGCCAUUAUCCAUCAGUGGGCAUCAAGCAAUGAUGUGUUGGCCAGAGGCACGGUGAAGCUUCCUUCUCUGUUCCUCCCCUUCCACACCCAUAAGAGAUUGCGGGAUGGUCACAGGCAAAGACUGAGAUGUUGGCCAGUUGCACACAUGGUUGCUCCACUAAGGAGCACGUUUCCGCAAAGAAAUGUGGUCUGGUUGCACUCUUCAGCUUGACCUCUACAACCCCUUAUGUUCCUUUGGUUGGAAUUAUGAUCAGUGCUUCCAGACACCUCCCUCCUUUUCUCCCUGUCCCCACAGAGACUGACAGACUGUUACGUACAGUGUUUAUGUAAGCGUAGAUGGGAUUGCUGGAACAUGUUGGGAAGCAAGACUGGUUUUGCCUCAGCAAGUAGGGAUGUUUGUUGUGAGACCGUGGAAAAAACACAUGCAGUUUGGAAAAAGACAUUACAUCAGGUGCAAGAAAGGUGACUACCUCUAACUUGGUAGUGAAGGAAGGGAGAGGUAUAAGACCUAUAUCCUGAGAUGAGUGGAGUAUUGCUAGGGUAGGAAUGCCAGUACCUCCUAUAAGAACUGGGUUGCAAGCAGCUCAAGGUAAUGCUGCUGCUUUAUGCUUCCUCUUUUUCUUCCCCUCUCUUAGCGAAGUUGCUGAUAGGGCUCUGGGAUCUCCUGUGGGCUGUGGGAAGUGUAACACCUCUGUGGAGCAACAUGAGUGAGCAGACUGUGUAGAGGUUGGCCAUAGGGUAACUGGUGGGCUGCGGCCGCUGCAGAUGGCUGAGAUGGGUUACAGCAACGCUGAGGCUGAUGUGAUAACUAUCCCUUAGGCAGUGAGAAUUCC
rnacentral:lncRNA from 1 species